CCUACGGGAGGCUGCAGUGAGGAAUAUUGGUCAAUGGACGAGAGUCUGAACCAGCCAAGUAGCGUGAAGGAUGACUGCCCUAUGGGUUGUAAACUUCUUUUAUAUGGGAAUAAAAUGUUCCACGUGUGGGAUUUUGUAUGUACCAUAUGAAUAAGGAUCGGCUAACUCCGUGCCAGCAGCCGCGGUAAUACGGAGGAUCCGAGCGUUAUCCGGAUUUAUUGGGUUUAAAGGGAGCGUAGGUAGAUUGUUAAGUCAGUUGUGAAAGUUUGCGGCUCAACCGUAAAAUUGCAGUUGAAACUGGCAGUCUUGAGUACAGUAGAGGUGGGCGGAAUUCGUGGUGUAGCGGUGAAAUGCUUAGAUAUCACGAAGAACUCCGAUUGCGAAGGCAGUUCACUGGACUGCAACUGACACUGAGGCUCGAAAGUGUGGGUAUCAAACAGGAUUAGAUACCCUAGUAGUC
rnacentral:rRNA from 1 species